rnacentral:rRNA from 1 species
UACAGAGGGGGCAAGCGUUAUUCGGAAUUAUUGGGCGUAAAGGGCGCGUAGGCGGCCUGACAAGUGGAAGGUGAAAUCCCUCGGCUUAACCGAGGAACUGCCCUCCAAACUGUUUGGCUUGAGUCCGGGAGAGGUGAGUGGAAUUCCCAGUGUAGCGGUGAAAUGCGCAGAUAUCAGGAGGAACACCAAUAGCGAAGGCAGCUCGCUGGGACGGUACUGACGCUGAGGCGCGAAAGCGUGGGGAGCAAACAGG